CAUAAACAUUGCCUACACGUGAGACCUUCCCGGUCUGGAAGCAGGCAGCCAAUCAGAGGGAGGAAUGAGAAGAUGACAGGGUUUUAUAAACAAAGCUGGCUAAGCCAAUCAGGGAGCGGCACGGCAACAGGGAAUGUGAGAGAAGAGGUGGCCUGCGCAUCGUGACUGUGCUUAUGGGGUAUGAAGCUGUGGGGCACUGAUGGCUCGUGCAUGCUUCUUCACAUGCGCCUUCUUUUCUCGGUGAGGGAUACAAGUCAGCUGCGAGUCCGCAAGUAUGUCAGCAGGGAUGCGGGAGGCGGUGCCUUGCCUUCCAUGCCUUAAAGCCACACAGAAUACUGAAGAUGCCGGGCCAAACUUGCGCAAGCGUCCACAGCAUCAGAGAGCGUGCAGCAACCUACCAACAGGGCUCAAAGGCCCAGACUCUGCAGGGGCUCUUCCGAUGGGACAUUUGCUAAAAAGAAACUCCAAAGCUGCCAGAACUGCAGGCAGUGAAGGACGCCUUGCUUUACCCAUGCACGGUGCCCUGCAGGCUCUUGUGCGUGCUCUCUGGGGCCUGCAGCUUCCCUCAGGACACAUCGACCCGCGCCGGCGUGCUCUCUUCCAAGGGUUGCGCUGCAUUAGAAUUUUGAUUCUGGCGCCAGAACCACCCCCUGCUCUUCCUCCUCCUCCUGCUCCUCCUCCCGUUCCUCCUCCUGCUCCUCCUCUUGCUCGUCCUGACCCCCCAAAGCCUUCCUCCCCCUCCUUCCUCCCGCUCCGACUCUCACCUUGGCCUUUGCACAGCUGUUUCUCACACUUUCUCCUCCUCACUCCCCACUGCUGAGCAGCAGGUUGCCCUGUUUGGC